rnacentral:ncRNA from 1 species
CCGCCGGCGGGAGGCUCUGACACGCGGUCCAGAUACGUGCCGCCGGGACCGCGCCGAGCCACUGGCGAGACCGACCCGCGGGAUG